rnacentral:misc_RNA from 1 species
GAUGAAGAACGUAGCGAAAUGCGAUACUUGGUGCGAAUUGCAGAAUCCCGUGAACCAUCGAGUCUUUGAACGCAAGUUGCGCCCGAAGCCAAUAGGCCGAGGGCACGCCUGCCUGGGCGUCACACGUCGUUGCCCCCCCAUCUACUCCUUCGGGAUUGCGGGGGGCGGAUGAUGGCCUCCCGUGCGCCUCGUCGCGCGGUUGGCAUAAAUGCCAAGUCCUCGGCGACGCACGCCACGACAAUCGGUGGUUGCGAAACCUCGGUUGCCCGUCGUGUGCGGUCGUCGCGCAUCGAGGGCUCGAAAAAAUUGCCGGGCUCCGGCUCGGCUUUCAACGCGACCCCAGGUCAGGCGGGGUUACCCGCUGAAUUUAAGCAUAUCAAUAAGCGGAGGA